CCCUUAGAUGUCCUGGGCCGCACGCGCGCUACACUGAGUGUCUGAGAUACGAGUCUGUCUGGUCCGGCAAGGUCUAGGUAAUCGCUAAAAGACACAUCAUGCUUGGGAUAGAUUAUUGCAAAUAUUAAUCUUGAACGAGGAAUUCCUAGUAAGCGCAAGUCAACAGCUUGCGUUGAUUACGUCCCUGCCCUUUGUACACACCGCCCGUCGCUACUACUGAUUGGAUGUUUAAGCGAGGUUCUCGAACUGCUAGCGACUUAGCUUCGGUGAGGUCGCAGUGUGGGAAGUGAACCUAGCUUUGGUGUCUAGAGGAAGUAAAAGUCGUAACA
rnacentral:rRNA from 1 species